UACGUAGGUCCCGAGCGUUGUCCGGAUUUAUUGGGCGUAAAGCGAGCGCAGGUGGUUUAUUAAGUCUGGUGCAAAAGGCGGUGGCUCAACCAUUGUAUGCAUUGGAAACUGGUAGACUUGAGUGCAGGAGAGGAGAGUGGAAUUCCAUGUGUAGCGGUGAAAUGCGUAGAUAUAUGGAGGAACACCGGUGGCGAAAGCGGCUCUCUGGCCUGUAACUGACACUGAGGCUCGAAAGCGUGGGGAGCAAACAGG
rnacentral:rRNA from 1 species